AGUAAUGGUUAUAAGACGCGCCAAUCAAUUUAACUCAGACUGGAAAUUUCAUUCGUUAUAUGGAAAUCCUGUAAAAAUAACGUUAAGAAGAGUUUUAUGUUUCAUAAGGUUAUCUCAUACAUUUGGCAUGGUGUUGAACACAUCUUGUAACUAUUAUUGGAAAUGCUAAUAGUGUAAAAUCAUUAGAAUAUCAUAUAAUGUGAAAAAGAAAAUUUAGCUCAGUGUAGAUAAGGUGACAUUUCAAGUUGAAGUGCAAACGUUCCUUGUCUGGUGUAACAAAAGGCUUUUGAAACAAAACGUUAAUAAAUAUAAAGUAAUCGUAUAUUACAUCGAUGAAUGUCCUUAUUAAUCAAUUGCAGAAACUCAGGACAAUCGAUACGUGAUACACACUAAGAUUUAAUUCCCUUGUUCGAAUUCUGUAUUAGAUACACAAUUGAUACGGUAAACCUGAAUAGUCGCCAAAUACGGUAAAAAUCAUACUGUCCGUUUGGUAAAGUUAUCUUCCAAUAACCGAACUUCUGUGAAAACUGAUUGUCAUGAAUUUAACUGUCAAACAGUAAUUAAAAUAUUCAGUGAGUGUCUUUUUAUUAACCAAACGAAAAAAAUGUUCAAGGGUUCAUCGAAUGGAUUGAGGCAGAAAAUAAUUUUGUAUCACUUGUCCACUUGCUGCCAACACAAAUCGUUCAAGGGUAAUUUUUGUUGAACUCGACGGAUUGUGCUGUGUGUUGGAAGGCGCUCAUAAUUCCGGUCAGUCGGAACAUCUGACACUUUUAAAAUUUCUCGUUGAAUAAAAGCAUUUUCUUCAUUCGUUUUUGUGAAUAUGUGUUGUUUUUUGAAAUCCGAAAAUCCAGAAUUUUAACCAAAGAAAAACAAACAAACAAAAAUUACCGAACAAUCUGUUAGAUCCAUUUGGUUUACAGUGUACGGUAGUUGUUUGACAGUUCAGCAAUUACCAAACGAUCGGUAAUCAAUUCAAUUACCGAACUGAUUACCGAACGUUCAGCUGUUGAAAAUUCGGUAAAAAAUUACCGAAUACUGCGAAAUUUUCCAAGUGUGUAGUAAUAUAUCAGCAACAAAAAGGGCUCUGGAUACUUUCCUACAAACAAAUAGCAGAUUCAGACCAAUAAGCUUACAAUGAUCUUUGUAACUAAGAAGAUCCCUCCUAGGUAAGUUGCGCAGAGCGAAUCAAACAAAUCUAACGCUGGAUAGCUUCGAUGCGUGCAAUGUCGAUUUAAUAGUGAGGUGCCCAGACAACAGCUGCAUAUUCUAGCGUCGAACGCCUUAACUGCCCUAAGACAGUUACAUUAGUAAAGUUGUUGGUAACGCGAAAGACAAAACCCAAGAGCUUGGAGGCCUUUGAAAUCACAUAAUCGAUGUGACUUUGGAAGUCCAGCUUGGAAUCAAGAAUGAUACCCAAAUCUUGCACGGAAGAUUCACGUUUCAGUAUAUUGUGCGAGAUGCUAUAGUCGUAGGUAAUCAGCGAGCGUUAACGAGUAAACGACAAAACGAAACACUUCGAUGCAUUCAAGACCAUUCUAUUAUCCUGAUACCAGUUUGUGAAUAAGACUAACUGUGACUGCAAAUAUAUAGUGUCUUCUUGACAUUUAACUGAAUAAAAUAGCUUGAAGCCGUCUGCGAAGGAUAGUUUGUGGCAUUGCAAAUAUCAGGUGUCGCCGAUGAUUCGACGUCAUCAAGAAACAUCUGAUCAAGAAGUCCUGAUUCUUUCCUUUGUUAGUUCACGUGAUUCCAAAAUCUUCUACGGUUGAUUCUCGGAUUAUUUUGUACUCGAAGGAGGUGAGCAUCGUAUAACAUUCUGUUCAGUCGUUCAUAGCGGUUGUUGAGGUAGAGAUAGUGAGAUCGCAAUUGAAGCGAAGGCCGUUUAGAUAAUUUCCUUAAUGCAGACCCUUUAGCGCACUUACAACGUUUUAAGAUCAGAUUUGCCCAUGGAGGGUGUAUCGACAUAUUUUUUGGUAUAAAUUGAUCGAUGGAGUACGAGAUUACAUGAUACCAUAGCAUCUAGUCUAUGUUCGGCGCAAAUUAAAGCCAUUGAACUCAAUGCAUAUUACUAAAGACUUGACAUCACAUUUUUCAAAAGUUAAUAAAGAUAAAUUCGAGUUGUAGUUAACGAUUUGAAACAGGCUCACGAAAUAGUAACCUGUGAAUUAUUCGUUAUUGAAUAUCGAGUUUACAUUCCAUCGAAGGAGGUGGAACUAGACGGUGUUGUCAGGGAAGAAAACCAGACAGUCGUUGACUUACUUAAAACCUGUUUUAAUCCACCUAGUGGUGUAAUGAUGCCUUUCUCUUGUAUAUAAUAUUGUGGUAUUCUAUUCAAAAAUUUUCUCUUCGAAUUUUGAAAGAAACCGAGAGAUUGUUUGUGCAUAACAUACAGAAUGAAACAGUGCUUUGAUUGCGUAGGCCAUCCUUAAGAAAACGAAGUGGGUUCACUAUUGAUGUGCAACACAUUUUUGUUUUCUAUAUAAGGGUGUAAAUUAGAAACUCAAGAAAAAUACACGUAGA